rnacentral:rRNA from 1 species
AUACGGAGGAUCCGAGCGUUAUCCGGAUUUAUUGGGUUUAAAGGGUGCGCAGGCGGCCAUUUAAGUCAGCGGUUAAAUCGUGGGGCUCAACCCCAUUCUGCCGUUGAUACUGGGUGGCUUGAUUGCGGUCGAGGUUGGCGGAAUUCGUUGUGUAGCGGUGAAAUGCAUAGAUAUGACGAAGAACACCGAUUGCGUAGGCAGCUGACCAGCACGCAAAUGACGCUCAUGCACGAAAGUGCGGGGAUCGAUCAGGAUUAGGUACCCUGGUAGUCCGCACAGUAAACGAUGAAUACUUGUUUUCCGCGAUAUAAUGUCGGAGGCAAAGCGAAAGCGAUAAGUAUUCCACCUGGGGAGUACGCCGUCAACGGUGAAACUCAAAUGAAUUGACGGGG